GCUCAUUGCACACCACCUCCUUUCCUGGGAGUGGAGAAGCCCCAGCCAGAACCCUUGCCUUCCCCAAGAGGCACGCUCAGAGGGACAUUCUGCCCUUCCUCACUGCCCCUAGAGCCAACAUCACACCUGGCUUUGGGGCCCUAGAACCUCAGCCCGCGCCCCUCCCCUUCCACCCCCAGCCAUCCCUGCUCUGUGCCCAGUGAUCUUGGGGUCACCACAACCCCAUGGCGCCUUGAGGCCUCACCUUUCCUGGCCUCUCAGCAUCCUGGGACACUGAUGGUCAUGCCUUCCUUCUAGAAAGUUCUCUCCGAGGCUGUGGCUUCCAGGAUGAGCACUCUCCUCCUCCCACUUCCUCCCCUUCUCCUUCCCCCUCCUCCCUUCUCCCUGGAGAGGUCUUUCUCCAAGCCCCAGUCUUCCUCCCCACCCGGUGCCCCUCCCGCUGACAUUUGUCUGCAGUGCCUGUCUCCGCUCCCGCUAGGAAGCCUCCCCUCCGGCAUCUCCAAUCCAUCUCUGGGUCCUGCUCCACCUGCAUUUCCCUAGACCUGUCCUGGCCACCCUCACCCUGGGACACCUCCUGCCCGUGGAGAGCUCCUCUGAUAGCCUCAGUCCGAGACCUCUGUGAAUGGGGGUGAUGGCUAAUGGGAUGAGGGGACCACCUCCUGGUGGCUGCAGGGACUGGGGUGAGGGUGCUGUAGGCUCUGCCUAAGUCAAGUGCCAUGGGGCUGAAGAGACGGCGCACCGGCCCUGGAGAAGAGUCCUCCCUGCCCUCCUGUGUCUGGCCUUGUUUCCUGGAGGACAGGUCCCCACGGGGCAGAGACCCAGCAGUCCCAGGUAAGCGCUGGGUGGCCGGAGUCUGGUACCUGCAGGAAGAGAAGUAGAAGAAUAAAUUUGGAGUGUGUGAAGGGGGCAAAGCCUGAAAGGUUCGGACUCAGUGUGGGGAGGGAGAGGGAACAGAUGGGGUGGGGCACCUCCCCUGGGCUGGGUGACCCUUAUUUAUAUGACUGAAUCCAUGACAAGAUUGUUUGCUUGACCAAACUGUAGUCCGGCUUCAGAACCUUCUCGCAGGCUCAUCUGCAUUCUGCCUUAUAAAAUCCAGAUUUAGCAAGAACUCUGCUAAGUCAGUUUGGCAAGAAGCCUCCAUCCCCCCAUAUCUGAUCAGGGUCCUCAGCCUCCGCCACCCCCAGGCGAUGUCUGCUUACCUUGCCUGCCUUCAGCAAGCUUCCUUUUACCUGGGUAGGGUCCUCAGUUUCUGCCACCCCCAGGCAAUAUCUGCUCACCCUGGCUGCCUUCAGCAAGCUUCAUUUUACCUUGGUAGGUUCCUUAGCCUCUGCCACCUCCAGGCCAUGUCUGCUAACCCUGUCUGCCUUCAGCAAGCUUCGUUUUACCUGGGUAGGGUUCUUAGCCUCCGCCACCCCCAGGCGAUGUCUGCUAACCCUGCCUGCCCUCAGCAAGCUUCCUGUUUCCUGGGUUUAGCCAGAAUCCUCCAGACAGGUGUUUCGUGCCAUCCUGAACAAAAUAUGUGUUUCAACUGCUAUCCAGUUCUGGUUUCCCUUGACAUUG
rnacentral:lncRNA from 1 species